GUCUAUGGCCAUACCACCCUGAAUGCGUGCGAUCUCGUCUGAUCUUGGAAGCUAAGCAGGGUCGGGCCUGGUUAGUACUUGGAUGGGAGAAAUUGCUACUUUAGGCAGGUAUACACU
rnacentral:rRNA from 1 species